CACACACACACACACACACACACACACACACACACACACACACACACACACACACAAGCAAACCCUUCCUCAUCAGUGUGUGUGUGGUGUGGGAUGGGAGAGGAUUUAGGCCAAUGGAAGUUCUCAUGUUAGUUUGUAGAGCUGCGCUUUUAAUGUACAGUUUGUUAUUAUUUCCCCUCCCCCUAUACUGCUGUAAAUGAUUGUGGUCGGAAAUUGUAUUAUUAUUACUGUAUUUUUGCUGCAAAGAAUCAGAGUAUGUUUUGAUGUGAAUCUGUGAUGUAUGUUAUGAAAGAGAGGGAUUUGAGUGUACUUUACUACAUUGCGGUUUUUUAGCUAUUGCUACACAGUUGAAUACCAAGCUGUUGGCACUGCAAUAUUAUGUUAAGUAUAUUUUUAAUUGUUCAUUGGCAUUUUUUUUAUUGUUUUUGGGACAUUUGAAUGAAUCUAUAACCAAUUCUCUUUUUAACAGUAGACUUUAGCGCACUUCAUCUUGGAUCCAAUUGCAAAUGAAUGAUUUUAUUUUGAUAUUGUUCCUCAUCUUUCUUGUAGAAAGCAUCCUUUGGUGUAUCCAAGUUAACUUAUUUCUUAGUAUUAUGUCACCUCUGAUUGUGUGCAUCUCGACAAGCAGUCAAAUGGUUUAUUGCCCUGACACUGAAUUUCUUUUUUACUAUAGCACACUGUUAACUGACUGUAUUUGAACUUGUUUAGUUAUUUAGAUGUAAUUUGUAAGCGAUUGUCUGUUGGAUGAGCAAACACAGGGUGAAUGUAAGUAAAUAGAAAUGUGGUAUAGUGAGGAGCCAGUGAUUACUGUUAGCGCUGUAACAAUUUAAUAUGGGCCACUCCACUGGCUAGAAUGAGUUCUGUAUUUGGGGAUUGUCACCAGGGACUAAGUCUCAAUUAGUCACUUUACCCUUUUGACUGGUUCUUUCAGGCGUUUUUCACAGCUGUCUGAUAUUUAAAAAAAUUUAAUUUAAGUGCCCUUACUCAGUUAAGUGAUUUUCAGUCCUCUCUGUUGUAGAUGCUCCUCUCUUCUGUGGUGCAUCUUUCUGAGUUCUACCUCACACAAGCACACACUCACUCAAACACAUUUCUUUAAAGAUACAGUUUGUAUAUCAUGGCACACAUAAUUCAAAAGAAAUGUGAAAAAAGAUCAAUUUUCUUUUCUGUAUUUGCAUUAUUUAUUUAUUUCAAGCUUGGAGAUGUCUAUGGUAUGUAAUGUACAUUUCAUUCAGAAGUACUAUUUAUAUGCAUUUUGUUUUAUUUUUUUGUUUUCUGUGCAAUAUAAUUCAUAGAUUAAUAUAGUCAGUCAUUGAUCUGUACAUUUUACUGUAGAUGUAUGUGUGUUUUCUGAGAGUCAGGAAACUUGCCAUGGUAAUCUUGGAUGUAGUUGAUUGCUCAAAUUCCCAAAAUGUUCCUUUGCUCUUUUUAAUGGUUGGGCACUCCAGGCAGUAACCCCUAGCAUCAGCUCCCAGAAUGCACUUUGGGGAUUGUGACGCAUGCCCUGACCUGUUCUGGGCCACAUCUCAACUAACUGUUGUGGCCUUCUCAUAUUUUUCUGUCAUUUUCCUCUUCUCCAUCUCCUCAAAAAUAGAAAAGAUAGAAUAGACCACGCAUGAGUUUUUUCUGGUUUUAGUGCAGGUAUAUUUAGAGGAAAGACAGGCAAGCCAUUCAGCACUACUGGGAUAAUGCUGCAGUUUUCUGAUGGUUUGGCUAAUAUGACAGCAGAGUUAAACUGUUGUGGUGUGUUUUGCUCAGCCCAGUUGUGUGACGUUUAGCCUUUAGAUCUGAAAAUGCCUCACUAACAGACGAUUAUAUACAUCAGAAACUGUCUUCAACUCCAGCAAAUAAAAGAUUUAAAUUUUAA